CGGGACUGAUGCGCUCCUGUGGCCCCGCGCGGCCGGCAGUACCUCCUCCUGGUGCGGGACGAGAUGACGGUGGCGCACAAGCACCUGGGCGAGUUCUGCAGCUCCCUGAAGCAGUACCUGAAGAGCGUGGCCGGGGAGCGGGACUGCUUCCACGUGACUGCAGUGAAGCUGCCGGAUGGUGUCACCUUCAUAGUCUACGAGUUCUGGGAGACGGAAGAGGACUGGAAGAGGCACCUGCAGAGUGCCACCUGCAAGGGCUUCCAGCACGUGAAGGUGGACACGCUGAGCCAGCCCGAAGCCGUGUCCAGCGUCGCCGUGCCAGCCGCCUGGUGCACUCUGAGCAGAGACUGACUGUGCUGCCGGAGGGGACGCGGCGGCCACGCGAACGCCGGCGCUUCGGGGCCCUCGGUCCUUCCUGCCUGCUGUCCCGCCAGCGGGGACUAAUCGCCUGUCUUUUCUGAUGACCGUGUUAUGAGUGUGAUGCUGGGAGUACCCCUCUGCGCAGCCGGGAGUGCCGGAGGCGUAGGCGGUGGCUGUUUGGCGUGAAGGAAACCCCUGUCCUCACCCCGGCCCCCUGCAGCACCUCCUGGGACCCCCCUCCCCGGGCCAUCCCUUUCCUCCGUGAGCUGGGGCGGCAGGAGGGCUGGCUGGCCGCAUCCCGGCCUCGGGACUGCCCGAGGGGCAGGGGGCUCUGGGGCCAGCCGGGGACAGGGCCGAGGGGGCUCGGGGC
rnacentral:lncRNA from 1 species